ACUGACGUAAUGCGGCGUUUAAAUACUCCUGUCGCACAUCGUGAGGUUCUCUUUUCUCUGUCCGUUGGCCUAUGGGAGUUUCGGUCCAAAUACGAGCAAUGAGUAAAAGUUCAGCACUGGACCAUCAUGCCAGUGAACCUCCCAGUCACUUACUGGUCCACAGACUGGGGCAUCUGGUGCUGGGGAUGACCUUUAACCCUUAACCUGUCGACCCCGAAGCCCUUGGAUGUAAUGUGAUGGAUAAGCCAGCUGGGUUCAGCCGUCGGCCAUCUUUAAUGAGGUCACAGGUUUGGCAGAAAUGACUCGGACUGCGUCAGAAUGCAAGAUGGCGGCGGGAUGAGUUGCUCUUGGAGCUGGACAUCAUCUAAUGACUUUUCUGGUUCAACAGAAGCAUGUAUGUCGUAAAGUGACUUUUGAACAGGGAUUCUGUGUCACAGAUGCAGAUCAAAGCAGACGUGGACCAGCUGAGGGGAGUUUGCUCUGAUGCAUCAUCUUCUGAUUAAAACUAAAUGAAUGUCUUGUUGCAUGUACACGUAAUAAUUUGUUUGCAGAUUUUUCUUUUGUACAAAAAGAAAUAAAAGACAAAAGAAUC